GCGGUCGUUUCCCUAUUUUAAAACAAGUAACACGAAAAAGAUAUGACAAUAGGCUAAACUGUGUCAGUCCCAGUUGUGACAAGGCGCGAGCCAAAGGCCAUGGUAGAACUUCAACACCUUUGCCUUUAUAAUAGUACCAGAGAGACAGUUGUUUGAAUGUAUCACUAUCAUAGUUAGAAGUCUUACCACGGGAGUUGUCGUAUUUAAGACUUCU
rnacentral:lncRNA from 1 species